rnacentral:rRNA from 1 species
UAGCGGAGGAAAAGAAACUAACAGGGAUUCCCCUAGUAAGGGCGACUGAACCGGGAAGAGCCCAGCGCAUAACCUGGCGUCCCACAAGGGCGCGAGGGGUGUUGCGUUCCGGAGGGUCCGGCACGCCGUCCCACACCGCCUAAGUCAUGCUUGAAAGCGGCCACUACCCAGGGAGGGUGAUAGGCCCGUGUGGCGGCGCCCGUGAGGGCAUAGGUGGGGCGGUCGGAAAGGGCCUCUCCGUAGAGUCGGGUUGCUUGAGAGUGCAGCCCAAAGUAGGUGGUAAACUCCUUCUAAA